rnacentral:rRNA from 1 species
AACGAACGCUGGCGGCAUGCCUAACACAUGCAAGUCGAACGAGACCUUCGGGUCUAGUGGCGCACGGGUGCGUAACGCGUGGGAACCUGCCCUUAGGUUCGGAAUAACUUCCCGAAAGGGGUGCUAAUACCGGAUAAUGUCUUCGGCCCAAAGAUUUAUCGCCUUUGGAUGGGCCCGCGUUGGAUUAGCUAGUUGGUAGGGUAAAAGCCUACCAAGGCGACGAUCCAUAGCUGGUCUGAGAGGAUGAUCAGCCACACUGGGACUGAGACACGGCCCAGACUCCUACGGGAGGCAGCAGUGGGGAAUAUUGGACAAUGGGCGAAAGCCUGAUCCAGCAAUGCCGCGUGAGUGAUGAAGGCCUUAGGGUUGUAAAGCUCUUUUACCCGGGAUGAUAAUGACAGUACCGGGAGAAUAAGCUCCGGCUAACUCCGUG